CCUAAGCUCGCCUCAUGUUGCUGGUCUGAACAAAAGGGUCCUAUUCACAAGGCUCAGAAUUCUGAUUGAUGUUAAUACCUAGAUGCAAUUUCUACAGCCAACUACGGCUGCUUGAAUCCAAAUUGUAGCCCCUUACACAAAGAACAUCAAAAAUUUCACAACUUUUCUCUUUCUAACAAACUUGGCAAUGUAAUAGUAUAACUUUGUUCCGCACAAUAUGAAGCAUAUUAUCUUUAUGUGAAGCAUAUUUACCUU